GACGAACGCUGGCGGCGUGCUUAACACAUGCAAGUCGAACGGAAAGGCCCUUCUUUUGUGGGGUUCUCGAGUGGCGAACGGGUGUGUAACACGUGAGUAACCUGCCCUUGACUUUGGGAUCAAUUCAGGAAACUGGGGCUAAUACCGGAUAGGAGCUCCUGCUGCAUGGUGGGGGGUGGAAAGUUUCGGCGGGUGGGGAUGGACUCGCGGCUUUUCAGCUUGUUGGUGGGGUAGUGGCUUACCAAGGCUUUGACGGGUAGCCGGCCUGAGAGGGUGACCGGCCACAUUGGGGCUGAGAUACGGCCCAGACUCCUACGGGAGGCAGCAGUGGGGAAUAUUGCACAAGGGGCGGAAGCCUGAUGCAGCAACGCCGCGUGCGGGAUGACGGCCUUCGGGUUGUAAACCGCUUUCGCCUGUGACGAAGCGUGAGUGACGGUAAUGGGUAAAGAAGCACCGGCUAACUACGUG
rnacentral:rRNA from 1 species